rnacentral:misc_RNA from 1 species
AAGUCGUAACAAGGUUUCCGUAGGUGAACCUGCGGAAGGAUCAUUACAACUAAAUGUGAAAUCCACAACCUACCGUCUUUUCGUGAACCAUGUAUUGCCGUUUGCUGGUCGUUUGGGGUUGUGCUGUCCUGGCGUUUAGGGGACCCGAUGAGUGUCGGGAGGUUCCCAAGUCCGGACAGUGCGUUCUCUGCAAGGAGGCCUCUGACUGCAAACGCGUGUCUCCCUUCCCCACUCUUAUUAUUAUCACCUUGUACCUUUCUUACAUGAACUGACCUCUCGAGAAGGCCGCCCCAAAAGGGCCCUUCUUGCAAGACUAUACGUAAAAGAGAAGAACAACUCUUAACAACGGAUAUCUUGGCUCUC